GGGAGCUGGCUGAUCAAAUAAAUAAUAGACAAAAGGCAGAGGGAUAGUGAUGGUGCGCCUUUUCUCUGACACAGCGUGGCGCACCUCUGAGGAACCUCUGAAUCCCUUCCAUUCCCCGCACACAACAGGGAGAGAGGAGCGAUAGAUUAAAACUGCAUGGCAGACGCUGCUAAAAAUGAAUAGGGCUAAAAAUACUCCCCUUUUCAGACAGACAUGAAAGGAAACUGCCUUUCCUCUGUCCGGUAUUGAGCAGUCACUGAUUCGCCGAGACAAAAGGCUACACCUCCUCAAAGAGGAGGCGACGGCAGGCGUCGGGAGCUGCAAGCGCGCCGCCGAACGAGGGCUCGUUCGUCUUCGGCUUUCAUCUGGCUCGCAUGACACGGCGCCCCAUGCAGCGUAAAGCAGAGCCGGCCGGGCCUGGGGGAGCGCACAAAAGCAUGAGAGAGAGUGGAAUGAAUAUUGAUUCCAUAUUCAUCUGGAUGGAGCCCAACAACAAGGCUCGGGAAGACCAGUGGAUGGCACGCACUUCACACUGAGGCCUGCUCGUUUUGAUGUGAGGCACUGGAAGGAGAAAGAAAGAAAGUCCGCUGCUGAGCCCAACCCGCUCCACUAUGCUGAAGUACUCCUCUGCACUGAAUCGUAAUCUUAACUGGCAAGGCUUCAAAGGGGGGAAAAGUCGAGAGGCAGCAACAAAAGGAGAACGGGGGCCAAGGGGAGGACGGACUCACUGGAGGAAAGUAAAGAGGUCUGUCUGCACCGAGACACUGUGGAACUCAGACUGGACAUAAUUACACAAAAAAGUCGAAGAACAGAUGUCGGCCAAGGCCGAAGGAUUCACAACAUGUCCGUCUGAUUCUUUUGAUUGAAAAAUCAGAACAUGUCAGGCCACUCCGGUCCUGUAGGUGGUAGUGAUGCACACCACUAUUAGCUCUUAACUAGAAAAGAGCUACAGGGCUUCCCAAUUUACAAUGGAGGCCCGUUCCUACGGUGACUACGUAACUUGAAUUUCUGCGAAAGUCGCGAUAAGCCAUAGUCUAUCACUAACCUAUGCUAAUGUAGUAGUAUAAUCAUAAUUACAGUAAAUAUUUUGAUGAAAACGACUCCUAGGCCGUAAAUAUAACAAUGAAAUGAAAACAAGUACCGCGCUAACCUAGUGUGGCUUCUUGUGCCGCCUGAUGAUGUAGUCUUACACCACUGUGAUCCCCUUUUUCACUGCCAAGCUAGGUUGUAAGCGCUACCAUUUCUAGUACUUUGUCAGUUGUAUUUCCAGGUGUGCUGAGCUUACACCAUGAGUGGAAACCACCGCUGGUUGGUAGCGUCAUUGUGACAUUUUGUUUGCCUAAUAGCAUUAUUGCAUUUUGGAAAACAAGAAGAAAAAAAACCCCAUAACAAACAGUGCAAAAAACUACUUUGCGUAGCAGAGUACAGAUAUGUCUCCAUGUUGUACAAGAACGCACACUCAGUUACUGCUUUACAGUACUGUUAUUCAUUAAAUUGUUGAAUAUUUAUGGUCUAGACUACGAAUAAGUGUUUUCAUACGAAUUUUGAAAUAAUUAUUACUUUACUACUGUUAGCACAGAUUAGUGAUAGACUACGGCGCGUUCUGGCGUACCAACAGAUUCAGCCAACGUAGCCGCCGUAGGAAUGGAACUCAGUCGUAAACCGAGGAUCUGCUAUAGCUACUUGGUUUGCCAUGCUUCUACUUGCUGCUGGCACUGGCAAACCUAAGUGCUACCGAUACUAUUUCUCGUACCCGGUCAGUCGUGAUUUUCCAAGCGUGCUGAGCCUAUCCCAUAUGGGUGACUUAAACCACUGCUGGUUGCUCAUUGGUCACGUAAUUGUAACAUUUGAGAAUACAUACAAAAAAAAAAAAAGCUUUGGACAUAACAGUAACAUACUCCAUAGUCUCCACUUUUCCACAGCGGCCCUUCGUCGUCUUCUGAAUACAAUUUGUCCUCAUGGACAACAACAAUAUACCAAGAAGUAAAUACAGGACACUUGUAUUCCUCCAUUGUUGUUGUAUGUCAGCGACUGUUGUUCAGAUUGAUGUGUUCAAUGUGGGCAUGGUUUUUAGCAGAUUCCUGCAGUACGAAUUUGAAGUGGAACACCUUCCUGCCUCACAGGAUUGAAAAAGCCUGACGUGUCAGAUGAAGCUGUUCCACUCCAGCCCUGUAAGAGGUGGUAACGUAUAAAUUGGCUACUGGUAAAACCAAGUACUACGAGGUACAAAUUUUUUGUACUUUGUCAGUCAACAAGCCAAGACUAUAACAUAUGGGUGACAUAAAUCACUGCUGGUCACACACUGUUCUGGUAAAUCCUAACAUCUGCGGAUGCACUACAAGAAAUGACAAACAUAUGCCAAUGUUAGCUUAGCCUGUUGCUGUGCCUUAACUGUGGACAGUACACUAUGACUAUUACAAUCCUCCGCAGUCGCCACUUUUAUGCAGUGGCCCUUCGUAUCCUCUCGAAUAAAAUCUGUCAACUAAUCAUGACAAACAGCCACAUGCCGAAACCCUCAUCCUCCUCGAUUG